UUUGCACGAUCUGUAUGGGCCAUCGUCCAAAUAGCUUCGAAUUUAUAUCCCCCACGUAGUGCAUGGAAUAUAUUCGGCAAUUGGUUGAGGGGUAUAGAUAAACAGUUUUCUGCUCACAUUCUUGUGGGGGCGGCUGCCUUAUGUUGGGCACUCUGGCUCACCAGGAAUGACAUUGUUUUUAACCGUAAAUGUGUUUCAUCUCCUAUGCAGGUUAUUCAUAUAUGCUCGCGAUGGCUCCGUACGUGGUUUAUCCUGCAGAAGCCGGAGGACAGAGACCUUUUUAUGAUGGCGUCUACUCGGCUGGAGCGUUCUGCCCGGGAGAUUUUCUACCCCAUGGAUGGCGGUGUGAUCUUCGGAUAG
rnacentral:rRNA from 1 species